rnacentral:rRNA from 1 species
GAUGAACGCUGGCGGCGUGCUUAACACAUGCAAGUCGAACGAAGCACUUUGAAACAAUCCCUCGGGUGCGUUUUAUGUGACUUAGUGGCGGACGGGUGAGUAACGCGUGGGUAACCUGCCUCAUGCAGGGGGAUAACAGUUAGAAAUGACUGCUAAUACCGCAUAAGCGCACAGUACCGCAUGGUACAGUGUGAAAAGAUUUAUCAGCAUGAGAUGGACCCGCGUCUGAUUAGCUAGUUGGUGAGGUAACGGCUCACCAAGGCGACGAUCAGUAGCCGACUUGAGAGAGUGAUCGGCCACAUUGGGGACUGAGACACGGCCCAAAACUCCUACGGGAGGCAGCAGUGGGAUAUUGCACAAU